rnacentral:rRNA from 1 species
GACGAACGCUGGCGGCGUGCUUAACACAUGCAAGUCGUACGGUAAGGCCCUUUCGGGGGUACACGAGUGGCGAACGGGUGAGUAACACGUGAGUAACCUGCCCACAACUUUGGGAUAACGCUAGGAAACUGGUGCUAAUACUGGAUAUGUGCUCCUGCUGCAUGGUGGGGGUUGGAAAGCUCCGGCGGUUGUGGAUGGACUCGCGGCCUAUCAGCUUGUUGGCGGGGUAGUGGCCUACCAAGGCGGCGACGGGUAGCCGGCCUGAGAGGGUGACCGGCCACAUUGGGACUGAGAUACGGCCCAGACUCCUACGGGAGGCAGCAGUGGGGAAUAUUGCACAAUGGGCGCAAGCCUGAUGCAGCAACGCCGCGUGCGGGAUGACGGCCUUCGGGUUGUAAACCGCUUUCAGCAGGGACGAAGCUUUUUGUGACGGUACCUGCAGAAGAAGCACCGGCUAACUACGU